CUUCAGACAGGAAUAUACUCCCAGUGAAACUUCUGAAGAAUGAUUAUCUUCCCUCUCCUUUUGGGCCAAGCUGAGAGAAGAAAAGCAAGUAGGAUGCGGGAGGAAAAAAAAAAGAGAGAGAGAGAAAUAAAAGGAGGCUUUUGCUCUGCAGUUAGAUCUCUCAUUUGUGGGCAUCUGCCUACACACUUCUGCCUAUUUGAAGCAGAUCAACCCAUGUGAGCGCUACUGUGAUCAGAAUGGUGCACUUACAUACAGCCUUGCUGAUUUUGGUGAAGCAAAGGGUCUCCAAAGCUGUGCAGCAGUCACCAUGUCUUCUGUGGCAAGCUGUCCACUGAUAAAGCAAAAGAGAGGAAGAGUCCAGCUACUUCCCCUUAAAAUUACACUGAAAGUUACACAGUGCCACCAGCAUGCAGAAUCCCUUUCCAUGAUACUGUGCUCUGAGUAAGUCAAAAGAAUGGUUUGACACCAAAGCAAGACCUGAUGCCACAGGGAUCAUCAGAAUCUAGUAAACAGAAAUAUCUAAGAAGAGCAGAUGCACAUUGUGUCUUCUAGGCAUCCUCUCAGUGGCAUGGUUGAAAUCCAGAUUCUGAUCACACAAGAUUCAGCCCAGAAGGGGAACUGCAUCCUGGGUUGCGUACCAGAAGGUCAAGGGAGGUGAUUCUGCUCCUCUACUCUGCUUUCAUGAGACUCCACCUGGACUAUUGCGUCAAGUUCUGGAGCCUCCAAUGUAAGAAGGACAUUGAGCUGUUGGAGCAGGUCCAGAGGAGGGAUACAAAGAUGAUCAGAAGGCUGGAGCACCUCCCCUGCAAGAACAGGCUGAGAGAGCUGGGGCUCUUCAGCCUGGAGAAGAGAAGGCUCCAUGCAGACCUUUUAGCAGCCUUCCAGUACCUGAAAGGGGCUUACAGGAAAGCUGGGGAGGAACUGUUUAUAAGAACAGGUAGCAACAGAAAAAGAGGAAAUGGUUUGAAACUGGAAGAGGUUAGAUUUAUAAAUAGAUAUCAGGAAGAAAUUAUUUACUGUGAGGAUGGUGAGACACUGGAACAAGUUGCCCAGGAGGUUGUGAAUGCCCCCUCCCUGGAAGCAUUCAAGGCCAGGCUGGAUGGGGCUUUGAGCAACCUGGUCUAGUG
ensembl:lncRNA